UAAACCCAAUAGUAUAGGAUAGUGGGAUUGAUGGAAUAAGGCAAAGCGACACGAUAUCGAACUGCCCAGGGGGACCUUUCUACGGGAAAACUGGACCCUGUUUAGGUGUUAGACACACGAAAACCCGGAAAACACGUGUCUGAUCCAUCGAACCCACGACCCGAGUUUAGUGGCUCUACUCGGCCACUGAUGGGUCCUAUUAAAGAGAAUCCUGGAGGACAUUUAAAAGCAAAACUAGCGUCGAGUCUCGCUUUCACACUAUAAAGAGGACGACAGCUGUUUCACGAACAAACCAACGACACUUAAACUAUCUUCGGAGGCGGAAGUUCUCUCAGUUUCGACACUAGAUAAUAAUUGGGUAUCGAGUGUAAGCGUGCAGAAUGAACAAGAAUCUAAUUAUAGAACGGAAGAAACGUUUCUCUUCCACACGUUCAACAUUCUUGUGCACAGUUCUCACGCUGCAACCCAACCCUACACGUUCCAAAGUAAUAACUGACACGAUUCUCAUGUGCAACAAUCGAACGAGUAAAAAACACUUAACUAUAUAAACACAUCGAUCGUAAACGGAGCAUAUUGCUUCUUUAGCCUCCAGCAUACAUCGGCAUCCUCCUCCAGAACACCAUUUUGGAUUUACUACUCCGCCUAUCCUCAGGUGUUAUUUAUUAUGAAGACAUCGACUAUUUUAAUGUUAAUUUUCCUAUGCACCAUGAUAGUUACAGCUUCUUCCGGGCAUCUGUUUGUUUACGAUGGCCUAACGAAGCAUAAAUACCUAAAGAAGAAACUAUGGAAGUAUCUUUUAUUGUCCAAGUUCAAAGGUUUAAAAGCUCACCACGCUAAGAAAUUGGUGGUUUUGCCCAUUCCCCUGAUCUUAGGCUUGGGCCAUGCUGGCAAAGGAUUCUCUCACGGAUUCAAACAUGUCGGAUACGCAACGAAACUAGGCACAAUCGGUGGGAAAUUUUACCACAAUUUCGGAUAUCCCGGAUAUAUCUGGUGAUUUUCCUAAUAAAAUAUUAGGUGGGUUGUUUUUCCACCUCCCAAAAAAGUAUGGAGAAGUAUGGAUCUUAGUUUCGAAAUACGAGAGACUAUUUAUGAAAAGAGUUUAGAGAUCGAGAAAAAUCGAGUUUUAUCGAUUUAAUUCGAUCAUUGUGCCCGAUUUGUAUCGAGAAAUGCUUAAA